AAUAUACCUAAUACAUAACAUUUUAUGAAGUAAAAAAUUGUAAUCAGUACAAAUUGUUUUGUUGAAGUGAACGACCACAGUAAUCGUCCAAACAUGAAAUUAAUAUGUUUUCUUCUAAUUGUGAUUCUGGCUAUUUCCUACUGUGUAGCUAUGGAGCCAAGAUGUCUGCAGCCCACGGACCCAGGAAUUUGUUAUGGACAUGUGCCUAAGUAUGCCUACAACAACGAGGCUGAAAGAUGCGAACCGUUUGUCUAUGGCGGUUGUAUGGGAAAUGACAAUCGUUUUGAUACCUUAGA